GAGUGGCGGACGGGUGAGUAUCGCGUAGGGAUCUAUCCAUGGGUGGGGGAUAACAUCGGGAAGCUGGUGCUAAUACCGCAUGAUACCUGAGGGUCAAAGGCGCAAGUCGCCUGUGGAGGAGCCCGCGUUCGAUUAGCUUGUUGGUGGGGUAAAGGCCUACCAAGGCGAUGAUCGAUAGCUGGUCUGAGAGGAUGAUCAGCCACACUGGGACUGAGACACGGCCCAGACUCCUACGGGAGGCAGCAGUGGGGAAUAUUGGACAAUGGGCGAAAGCCUGAUCCAGCAAUGCCGCGUGUGUGAAGAAGGUCUUCGGAUUGUAAAGCACUUUCGACGGGGACGAUGAUGACGGUACCCGUAGAAGAAGCCCCGGCUAACUUCGUGCCAGCAGCCGCGGUAAUACGAAGGGGGCUAGCGUUGCUCGGAAUGACUGGGCGUAAAGGGCGCGUAGGCGGUUUACACAGUCAGAUGUGAAAUUCCAGGGCUUAACCUUGGGGCUGCAUUUGAUACGUGUAGACUAGAGUGUGAGAGAGGGUUGUGGAAUUCCCAGUGUAGAGGUGAAAUUCGUAGAUAUUGGGAAGAACACCGGUGGCGAAGGCGGCAACCUGGCUCAUUACUGACGCUGAGGC
rnacentral:rRNA from 1 species